rnacentral:rRNA from 1 species
GACGUAGGGCGCGAGCGUUGUCCGGAUUUAUUGGGCGUAAAGAGCUCGUAGGCGGCUUGUUACGUCGACUGUGAAAACCCGCGGCUCAACUGCGGGCCUGCAGUCGAUACGGGCAGGCUAGAGUUCGGUAGGGGAGACUGGAAUUCCUGGUGUAGCGGUGAAAUGCGCAGAUAUCAGGAGGAACACCGGUGGCGAAGGCGGGUCUCUGGGCCGAUACUGACGCUGAGACGCGAAAGCGUGGGGAGCGAACAGG